CGCUCAAACACUCUUGCGAUACGAUACGGUUUCCAAAGAAUCCGAUUUUGGGGAAACUGUGGAUGGACUUGUGCUGUUUGCAGGCAUACUAUUCUACUACCGGAAACACCCGAUUUUGCAGUCUUCAUGUGAAUUACGAGCUGGAUCUGUACGUGGCCGCAGCCAACGGGAAGCUGAGAACUAUACCUGGUGCACCUCAAGGUUUCCAAUGCCGAACUUAAAUGAAACAAACCAGCAUGGAAGAGAGACUGCUUCUGACGUUGGCACUGCUGCUGCUUCUGGACUACUACUGCUGCUGGGGCUACUGCUGCUCCUGGGAUUACUGUUGUUGAUG